rnacentral:rRNA from 9 species
CUUGACGACCAUAGAGCAUUGGAACCACCUGAUCCCAUCCCGAACUCAGCAGUGAAACGAUGCAUCGCCGAUGGUAGUGUGGGGCUUCCCCAUGUGAGAGUAGGACAUCGUCAAGA